UUUUUCUUCACCGCAGAGUUGGUUCCCUCCUAGGGAUCGCUGUUGGAACAUCUGGGCUCAGCUUCCAGAGACACACGGGCUUCAAUAUGUUACCUUCCACGUGUGGACAUGCGACCUUGCCUGAAUGGAGUUUGUUUCUGGAGCUGUGGUGAGCUGUAAGAAGAAGAAAGAGAACUUGAGAAUGAAAUGGGGCACUACUGAUUACACAGGGCCAGCAGGAAUAAACCAGAACGGUCUUGGGGUAACUGGGACAAAGCCCACCGGGACCCUGAGACCCACUGCUGAUGUGCGUUGCUUGCUGGUAACUUCCUGACCUCGGUGCCUACAGGUGUCCCCACCGCUCUGAUGUCCUUGGUCUUCCUCAGACCCGCCAAGCACUCCCUCACCCGUACCAUGCGCUGUCCCCUCCACCCAAACUCAGCUCUCCCGGACAGCCAUUGGGUUCCAUCCACCCUUCACUGGGGCCUCUGCUUAAAGUCACGUCCCCGGACACCCAAUCCAGAAGAGCUCUGCCCUACACUCUUGGUCACUCUCUUACCCUGCAUCCUUUUCUUCAUGGCACUUACCACCGCCUGAUGUGGCCUGACACACUGGCUCAGAUUCUCUUUAUGAACCGUUGGGGCCUGUGACACUCAUGACCGCAUCUGCCUCCCAGCAGGACGCAAUCAACGUCCACCAAAUGCACGACUGAGCGAGCUUUCGCCACCGCCGCGUCCUCACAUCCGAUGGACCUGGUCUUUCCCACCAUGUCUUCUUCUUCAAUGUUUAGUUGCUUCUUUUGCCUGCUUCUUUUUCUGGGGGGAAAAAAAAAGUUAGGAUCCCCCUUCCCAAAUUCUAAAAUACAUAAACAGAAACCACCUCUAUUUGGAUUAUUUUUUGAAACUGUCCACAGCUAACACCUAAUUAGGAGGCACACGCCAUGGUCACCAUGCUAUGCCUUACCACCCAGCGUGUAAGAAUCUCCAACCUUCCUUCCUUUGUGCCAGGUUCUCUUAAGGCUCUCAGUAUGGAGUUCAGUUGUCUUCAAGAUGAUCUCGAGCGCACUUCGGCACAUCAGGCAGGUGGCGACCAUCAUGAUGGCUGACACAGUUAUGACGGCAAGAUUCACAGCGACAACCACAGCAAUAACGUGGCCACGCGGAGCAUAACGCGGUCUCCAACACCAACAACAUCUGGAGCCUAGGAGGCUCACGAUAAGUAUUUGCUGGAUCCAUAAAUAAAUUAGCACCCGUUGUCA